rnacentral:rRNA from 1 species
GACGAACGCUGGCGGCGUGCUUAACACAUGCAAGUCGAACGGAAAGUCCCUGCUUUUUUGUGGUGCUCGAGUGGCGAACGGGUUAGUAACACGUUAGUAACCUGCCCUGUACUUUGGGAUAACUUCAGGGAACUGGUGCUAAUACCGGAUAGGAGCUCCUGCUGCAUUUUAGGGGGUGUAAAGUUUCUGCGGUUGGGGCUGUACUCUCGGCUUAUCAGCUUGUUGGUGGGGUAGUGGCUUACCAAGUCUUUGACGGGUAGCCGGCCUGAGAGGGUGAACGGCGACAAUAGGACUGCGAUAGGGAGCAGAAGACAAUGGGAGGCAACAGAGGGGAAUAUUGCACAAUGGGCGGAAGCGUGAUGCAGCAGCGCCGCGUGCGGGAUGACGGCCUGCGGGUUGUAAACAGCUUCCGCAUGUGCCGAAGGGUGAGUGACGGUAAUGGGUAAAGAAGCAACGGCUAACUACGUG